CAAGUCGAAGGGCAGCACGGGUGCUUGCACCUGGUGGCGAGUGGCGAGCGGGUGAGUAAUACAUCGGGAACAUGUCCUGUAGUGGGGGAUAGCCAGGCGAAAGCCGGAUUAAUACCGCAUUCGAUCCAUGGAAGAAAGCGGAGGACCUUCGGGCCUCGCGUUAUAGGUUUUGUCUCGAUGCCUGCUUAGUUAGCUGCUAGAGUCAGAGCUUACCACGUCGACGAUCCGUAGCUGGUUUGAGAGGACGACCAUCCUCGAGGCGACUGAGACACGGCCCACAGUCCUACGGGAGGCAGCAGUGGGGAAUCCUCCGUAGGUGAACCUGCGGAGGGAUCAUUACCGAGUUUACAACUCCCAAACCCCUGUGAACAUACCUAUACGUUGCCUCGGCGGAUCAGCCCGCGCCCCGUAAAACGGGACGGCCCGCCCGAGGACCCCUAAACUCUGUUUUUAGUGGAACUUCUGAGUAAAACAAACAAAUAAAUCAAAACUUUCAACAACGGAUCUCUUGGUUCUGGCAUCGAUGAAGAACGCAGCAAAAUGCGAUAAGUAAUGUGAAUUGCAGAAUUCAGUGAAUCAUCGAAUCUUUGAACGCACAUUGCGCCCGCCAGUAUUCUGGCGGGCAUGCCUGUUCGAGCGUCAUUUCAACCCUCAAGCUCAGCUUGGUGUUGGGACUCGCGGUAACCCGCGUUCCCCAAAUCGAUUGGCGGUCACGUCGAGCUUCCAUAGCGUAGUAAUCAUACACCUCGUUACUGGUAAUCGUCGCGGCCACGCCGUUAAACCCCAACUUCUGAAUGUUGACCUCGGAUCAGGUAGGAAUACCCGCUGAACUUAAGCAUAUCAAAAGCCGGGAGGAAGGUCCCAAAAUCCACACUGCCAGCCCCCCCCAGGGAGCCUGGGCCGUGCCUCGCUCCCGGGGUGGCUGGGCGUGGUCUCUGACGAGGUCGGCGAACGACCCCGUAGUAGGCCUUUUACCGCACCAUUCUAGCUAAGAACGACAUCGAGCCAAUCAGUAUAUUUCCGAGGACCAGAAGGGCCACCCGCGGUUCAUCCAUGAGAUCGCUCUGCAGGUAUUCAAUCCAGGCUUUUCGCCCGGGGCUAUCACCCCAUCUACGGGGACCAUGCUUCCUCAUGUAAAUACCUCACUUCGCGUCGCCCACUUCGAUCACGGAGGGUGGCAAUGCAUCUCCGUUGCUUGCCCGUUCCGACUUUUGCAAUGGUGGAAAGCGCACUGCCCGCCACGCGUUCAGUCUGCGUGGGUUGAGAAGGAUAAUUCAUCAAAAAAAAAAAAAACUGGUUAUCAUCAUCUUUCAUUGUU
rnacentral:rRNA from 1 species